AAAAGUAUUGUCUUCCCAAAUCUUUUGAAAAAAAACUUUCUUUACAAAGAUGAUUUUUCACAAGGCGAUCAAGGUGAAAGACUAAUCCCUUCUUCGUACUAUAGUGGAACUUCACUUCCUCCACCGCCUCCAAUAAUUCUCCCUAACCUACAAGUUCUAGGUCACUCAAAGACCUAUUGGCAGAAAGGAAAGUUUGUAUGUGCUCACAUCUUGGAGAUGAAGUUACAUAUUGACACGCUGCGAGAGUUGAGUGUUAAAGUCUCAAGGAAGUUAGUUUUUGACUGGGUUCUUCAAUCACUUCCUAAGUCAUAUAGCGGGUUCCCUUAAGGACUACUAUAUGGGAGGUCACGACAUGACCCUUGUUGAUCUAAGAUAUUUGCUUGUUGCUACUGAAUCAGAAAUUAUUUGGUGCACUGAUAAAGCAAAAUUGAUUGGAAGAUCUACUCCCCAAACUUCCAUGGACAUUAACAAUGGUAACAUUGAAAGUCCAGAAAACCUUUCUCUUCCCAAUGGAAAGGGAUCGGCCAUGGUCAUGUCAUUUGACCAAAUGGAAAAGAGAAAGGCUAAGUCUAAGAUAGUCCUGUGUACCAUUCCCAAAGAGUCCAUAUGUUUCUAUUGCCAAUAGAAGGGGCAUUGGUUGCGAAGCUGCCAUAUUUACCCGAAAGAUCGCUAGGAUGUGAAGUCAAAACUUUUGACUCUACUUCAGGUAAAAUCCACUGUCUGACUCUAUUAAGUUCCUUUUUGGAGAUUCUUAAUACAUGAUGUAGCUCCAUAACUCAAUUUUAUGUUGAUUAUGUCAUUUCCAUGCUAGUUGUAGGCUUAAUGCUUUGGAAACAAUAUUGCAUGUAUAAUUAGAGAAAACAUAGAUCCAAAGCAUUUAGGGUUGUAUGUGCACCAUAGGAUAUUGUAGUAUACUAAAACCCAUCAAUGGUAUUAGAGCAUAGGGUUGGUUUCUAUUAUACUUGAUACUUAUUUUUUUUAAAGCAAAAAAAAUUGUUUUUUUAGAAUCUGCCUGUUCACUACGAGGUGGUAAAAUUUAACACGAGGUGGUGACUGUUCAGUGAAAAAAAGCUUCAGUUUUUGGCCUGUUUUUGGUUAGGGUCAUUACCACAAAACGUUUUGUUCAUAAAAUUUGAUUUUGUUGAUAUGGUAAUGAUUAUCCUCAUCCAAAUAAAAGAUAAUUGUCAAAGUUUCAUGUUUUGUAUUAGUUUAUACAGUUAGGCUAAUUGCAUGAAAUUUGUUUGACAUGAAUUGUCUUGUUCUUAUGAGUUUAAUUUAGAUCAUAGGAAAAUUGUUUGGUUUUCUUGUUAGAAUUUUGAUCUAAAUGAAUUUGAUGAAUUCCAUAACUUGUCCUCAAGUUAUGGAAAAUGAAAAGUUUUCUUUUAAAUAGAUCAUUAAAAUCAUAGGUUAUGAACUUGAAGAGUCUUUUUCCUAUAAAUGGUUUUAUGAACUCCAUAACUUGUCCUCAAUUUAUGGAUUUUCAAGAGUCUUUUAAUUCAAACCAUAUUAAACUCAUAAGUUAUGGAUUCCAAAAGUUUUUGAAUAGUUCAAAACUUGCCCUCAAGUUUUAGAAUUUGUAAAUGCAAAGUCUUACUUUCAAACAUUUAGUUCCAAACCCUAGAAUUUUAAAAGUGUAAAAUGCAACCCUUAUACUAUUAUAAUAUUAUAGGUUUAAUAUAUAUAUAUAUAUAUAUAUAUAUAUANAAAGUCAGUCUUACUGUUAGUAGGCCUCAUUCACAAAGUCGGUCUAUAAAGGGAGGGGGGGUAUAAGGUUACUGCCUAUAAAGUAGCAGUUUAAUGGGUGUCCACUCUCACCCACCGCUUCCUUGACUGGUUGAGGGUGGUUAGCCGAACGGAUUUGACAGGUCAUUAAUUCUCAUUAUAAGUAUAUUGAAAUACUAAGUAACUAAAAACUUAUAAAUUACCAAUCUUAGUUACUUAGGAAAAUGUGAAUUUGGUGCUCACCUAUGAAAUUGCACUUUGCACCUUUUUAAGUUAUUAGUGGAGUGUGUGUGGUGAACCGACACACUAGUUUGGGUCUGACAGUGUGUGGCAAAGGGUAACUUGAUGUUAAUCAUAGAUCAAUGGAGCGUUUGUGGUUAACCGACACAUUGAUUAGGUGGUUUGUAACAUUGAGUGUUCCAAGCUAAUUUGCAUGGUUAUUCACCCCUUGUUUGUGAUCCUCGGCAUCCCAGUCACAAACUUGAAGGGCACAAUCGAGAGUUAAAGAUGCCUUUGAAAAAUUCAAUUAAUCUCAAAGGAUUGAGGAAUUUUAAACCAUUUAAAACUUAAUAAUCAAAUUUGUUUUUUAUGGUGGAAAUUGGUAAAUCGUCAUUUACCUACCACUAAAUAUUUUGCAAUUUGGAUUACGACAUCCCUCUUCCGAAUUGUAAAAUAUUGUGUUGGGUCCUGGCCUCAAUAUUUGAUGUUGGGUGUUAUAUUAAGUACUAAAAUCAACUAAACUUGAUUUUCUCCCAUUAUAGAUGUCUAGUUAAGAAAAGUAUGGUCUUCCCGAAUCUUUUGAAAAAAAAACUUUCUUUACAAAGAUGAUUUUUCACAUAGCGAUCAAGGUGAAAGACUAAUCCGUUCUUCGUACUAUAGUGGAACUUCACUUCCUCCACCGCCUCCAAUAAUUCUCCCUAACCUACAAGUUCUAGGUCACUCAAAGACCUAUUGGCAGAAAGGAAAGUUUGUAUGUGCUCACAUCUUGGAGAUGAAGUUACAUAUUGACACGCUGCGAGAGGUGAGUGUUAAAGUCUCAAGGAGGUUAGUUUUUGACUGGGUUCUUCAAGCACUUCCUAAGUUAUAUAGCGGGUUCCCUUAAGGACUACUAUAUGGGAGGUCACGACANNNNNNNNNNNNNNNNNNNNNNNNNNNNNNNNNNNNNNNNNNNNNNNNNNNNNNNNNNNNNNNNNNNNNNNNNNNNNNNNNNNNNNNNNNNNNNNNNNNNUCAUAGAUCAAUGGAGCGUUUGUGGUUAACCGGCACAUUGAUUAGAUGGUUUGUAACAUUCAGUGUUCCAAGCUAAUUUGCAUGGUUAUUCACACCUUGUAUGUGAUCGUCGACGUCCCAGUCACAAACUUGAAGCGCACAAUCGAGAGUUAAAGAUGCCAUUGAAAAAUUCAAUUAAUCUCAAAGGAUUGAGGAAUUUCAAACCAUUUAAAACUUAAUAAUUAAAUUUGUGUUUCAUGGUGGAAAUUGGUAAAUCGUCAUUUACCUAACUGUAAAUAUUUUGCAAUUUGGAUUACGACAUCCCUCUUCAGAAUUGUAAAAUAUUGUGUUGGGUCCUGGCCUUAAUAUUUGAUGUUGGGUGUUAUAUUAAGUACUAAAAUCAACUAAACUUGAUUUUCUCCCAUUAUAGAUGUCUAGUUCAGAAAAGUAUGGUCUUCCCAAAUCUUUUGAAAAAAAACUUUCUUUAUAAAGAUGAUUUUUCACAAGGCGAUCAAGGUGAAAGACUAAUCCAUUCUUCGUACUAUAGUGGAACUUCACUUCCUCCACCGCCUCCAAUAAUUCUCCCUAACCUACAAGUUCUAGGUCACUCAAAGACCUAUUGGCAGAAAGGAAAGUUUGUAUGUGCUCACAUCUUGGAGAUGAAGUAACAUAUUGACACGCUGCGAGAGUUGGGUGUUAAAGUCUCAAGGAGGUUAGUUUUUAACUGGGUUCUUCAAUCACUUCCUAAGUCAUAUAGCGGGUUCCUUUAAGGACUACUAUAUGGGAGGUCACGACAUGACCCUUGUUGAUCUAAGAUAUUUGCUUGUUGCUACUGAAUCAGAAAUUAUUUGGUGCACUGAUAAAGCAAAAUUGAUUGGAAGAUCUACUCCCCAAACUUCCAUGGACAUUAACAAUGGUAACAUUGAAAGUCCAGAAAACCUUUCUCUUCCCAAUG
rnacentral:lncRNA from 1 species